AGAGUUUGAUCCUGGCUCAGAUUGAACGCUGGCGGCAGGCUUAACACAUGCAAGUCGAGCGGAAACGGCAUAGGCAAUCCCUUCGGGGUGCGCUUAUGGACGUCGAGCGGCGGACGGGUGAGUAAUGCCUGGGAAUCUGCCUGGUAGUGGGGGAUAACUUGCCGAAAGGUAAGCUAAUACCGCGUACGCCCUACGGGGGAAAGCAGGGGAUCUUCGGACCUUGCGCUAUCAGAUGAGCCCAGGCCGGAUUAGCUAGUUGGUAGGGUAAAGGCCUACCAAGGCGACGAUCCGUAGCUGGUCUGAGAGGAUGAUCAGCCACACCGGGACUGAGACACGGCCCGGACUCCUACGGGAGGCAGCAGUGGGGAAUAUUGGACAAUGGGGGGAACCCUGAUCCAGCCAUGCCGCGUGUGUGAAGAAGGUCUUCGGAUUGUAAAGCACUUUAAGUUGGGAGGAAGAGCUCCGGGCUAAUACCCUGCGAGUUUUGACGUUACCAACAGAAUAGGCACCGGCUAACUUCGUGCCAGCAGCCGCGGUAAUACGAAGGGUGCGAGCGUUAAUCGGAAUUACUGGGCGUAAAGCGCGCGUAGGUGGUUUGUUAAGUUGGAAGUGGAAGCCCCGGGCUCAACCUGGGAAUUGCUUUCAAAACUGACGGGCUAGAGUACGGUAGAGGGUAGUGGAAUUUCCUGUGUAGCGGUGAAAUGCGUAGAUAUAGGGAGGAACAUCAGUGGCGAAGGCGACUGCCUGGACUGAUACUGACACUGAGGUGCGAAAGCGUGGGGAGCAAACAGGAUUAGAUACCCUGGUAGUCCACGCCGUAAACGAUGUCAACUAGUUGUUGGGGGUCUUGUGCCCUUAGUAACGCAGCUAACGCAUUAAGUUGACUGCCUGGGGAGUACAGCCGCAAGGUUAAAACUCAAAUGAAUUGACGGGGGCCCCCGCCAAGCGGUGGAGCAUGGGGGUUAAUUCAAAGCCCCCCAAAAAACC
rnacentral:rRNA from 1 species